rnacentral:rRNA from 1 species
GACGAACGCUGGCGGCGUGCUUAACACAUGCGAGUCGAACGGAAAGGCCCCUUCGGGGGUACUCGAGUGGCGAACGGGUGAGUAACACGUGAGUAACCUGCCCUUGACUUCGGGAUAACUUCAGGAAACUGGGGCUAAUACCGGAUAGGAAUCCUUGCUGCAUGGUGGGGGUUGAAAAGCUUCGGCGGUUUUGGAUGGACUCGCGGCUUAUCAGCUUGUUGGUGGGGUAGUGGCUUACCAAGGCUUUGACGGGUAGCCGGCCUGAGAGGGCGACCGGCCACAUUGGGACUGAGAUACGGCCCAGACUCCUACGGGAGGCAGCAGUGGGGAAUAUUGCACAAUGGGCGGAAGCCUGAUGCAGCAACGCCGCGUGCGGGAUGACGGCCUUCGGGUUGUAAACCGCUUUCAGCAGGGGCGAAGCUUGUGGUGACGGUACCUGCAGAAGAAGCACCGGCUAACUACGUG